rnacentral:rRNA from 1 species
CGAUUAGGCAGCAGUGGGGAAUAUUGCGCAAUGGGCGAAAGCCUGACGCGGCAACGCCGCGUGAGGGAUGACGGCCUUCGGGUUGUAAACCUCUUUCGAGCAGGGACGAUAAUGACGGUACCUGCAGAAGAAGCUCCGGCCAACUACGUGCCAGCAGCCGCGGUAAUACGUAGGGAGCGAGCGUUGUCCGGAUUCAUUGGGCGUAAAGAGCUCGUAGGCGGCUUGAUAAGUCGGAUGUGAAACCUCCAGGCUCAACCUGGAGUCGCCAUUCGAUACUGUCAUGGCUAGAGUCCGGUAGGGGCCCACGGAACUCCUGGUGUAGCGGUGAAAUGCGCAGAUAUCAGGAAGAACACCGGUGGCGAAGGCGGUGGGCUGGGCCGGUACUGACGCUGAGGAGCGAAAGCGUGGGGAGCGAACAGGAUUAGAUACCCUGGUAGUCCACGCCGUAAACGUUGGGCACUAGGUGUGGGACCUUAUCAACGGGUUCCGUGCCGUAGCUAACGCAUUAAGUGCCCCGCCUGGGGAGUACGGCCGCAAGGCUAAAACUCAAAGGAAUUGACGGGGGCCCGCACAAGCGGCGGAGCAUGUGGCUUAAUUCGAGGCAACGCGAAAAACCUUACCUGGGUUGAACUACGCAGGAAAAGCCGUAAAGAUACGUGUCCGAAAGGGUCUGCGAUAGUGGUGCAUGGCUGUCGUCCGCUCCGGUCGGGAAAUGUUGGGUUAAGUCCCGCAACGAGCGCACCCUUGUCC